GAUGAACGCUGGCGGCGUGCCUAAUACAUGCAAGUCGAGCGAACAGACGAGGAGCUUGCUCCUCUGACGUUAGCGGCAGACGGGUGAGUAACACGUGGAUAACCUACCUAUAAGGCUGGGAUAACUUCGGGAAACCGGAGCUAAUACCGGAUAAUAUAUUGAACCGCAUGGUUCAAUAGUGAAAGACGGUUUUGCUGUCACUUAUAGAUGGAUCCGCGCCGCAUUAGCUAGUUGGUAAGGUAACGGCUUACCAAGGCAACGAUGCGUAGCCGACCUGAGAGGGUGAUCGGCCACACUGGAACUGAGACACGGUCCAGACUCCUACGGGAGGCAGCAGUAGGGAAUCUUCCGCAAUGGGCGAAAGCCUGACGGAGCAACGCCGCGUGAGUGAUGAAGGUCUUCGGAUCGUAAAACUCUGUUAUUAGGGAAGAACAAAUGUGUAAGUAACUAUGCACGUCUUGACGGUACCUAAUCAGAAAGCCACGGCUAACUACGUG
rnacentral:rRNA from 1 species